GAGGUCAGGUCCCCAUGGUGUCCGGGGGUGGUGGUCGAGCUCGAGGCCGAGCUGGGGGUCGAGGUCGGGCCCCCAUGGUGUCCGGGGGUGGUGGUCGAGGUCGAGCUGCUGUGGUGUCCGGGGGCAGUGGUUGAGCUCGAGGCUGAGCUGGGGGUCGAGGUCGGGCCCCCAUGGUGUCCGGGGGCGGUGGUCGAGCUCGAGGCCGAGCUGGGGGUCGAGGUCGGGCCCCCAUGGUGUCCGGGGGCGGUGGUCAAGCUCGAGGCUGAUCUGGGGG